AAAGGGCGGUAAAUAUUUGAUCAGAGCUACUUUCAUGUAUGGAAAUUAUGAUGGUCAAAACCAAGCACCACAGUUUGAUAUCCAUCUAGGAUCUAGCAAGUGGGAUACAGUUGAAACAAUUAACGCAACCAUGAUUAUUUCAAAGGAGAUCAUACAUGUGACUACCAUGAACGAUUUACUCGUCUGCCUAGCAAACACUGGCUCUGGGACGCCUUUCAUAUCAGCUUUAGAAUUAAGGCCUCUAAAGAAUGCGUCGUACAAAACUGAAUCAGGAUCAUUAGUACUCUUCACUCGAUUAGAUGUUGGUUCAACAACAAAUCAAACUGUUAGGUGAGCAGUUCAAACCUGAAAACUGCAUGCAAUUAAUGCUGUUAGUUACAACUGAAUAAGUUUCUUGCCUUCAGGUAUGCAGACGAUGUUUACGACCGCACCUGGACUCCUUAUCAUUUCUUUAAGUGGGCAGAGAUAAAUACCUCACAAACCAUUGAUUCACAAGCUCAAAAUAUUUACCAGCCACCAUCGGUUGUCAUGAGCACUGCUGCCACACCUGCAAAUGCUAAUGAGAACAUGACACUCUCUAUAAACAUGGAAGAUAGUACUCUCAAAUUUUUUGUCUACAUGCACUUCUCUGAAAUUUUAAAACUCAAAGCCAACCAGUCCAGAGAAUUCAACAUUUCUUUUAAUGGAGCAUACAGGGUUGGACCUGUAGUUCCUCAGUACUUGUACACAACGACAGCAUAUAGUCUAUCAGCACCGACUGCAGGAAAAUAUAAGUUUUCACUCCAUAAAACAGAACGUUCAACGCUUCCACCCCUUCUGAAUGCAAUUGAGAUUUAUUAUGUGCUUCAACUCUCGCAGUCCCAAUCAAACCAAGAAGAUGUUGAUGCCAUUACGAAUAUCAAGUCAUCAUAUGGAAUAAAGAGAAACUGGCAAGGAGAUCCAUGCACCCCUCAAGGGUACUUGUGGGAAGGUCUCAGUUGCAGCUACAGCGACAAUGAUAUGCCUAGGAUCAUAUCCUUGAACUUAUCCUCAAGUGGAUUGACUAGCGAAAUACCUCCUGCUAUAUCCAAUCUCAAACUCUUAGAAUCUCUAGACCUAUCAAAUAAUAGUUUGACAGGAUCAGUGCCAGAUUUUCUUUCUCAGAUGUCAUCCUUGAAAUUCCUGAAUUUGACGGGAAAUAAACUCAGUGGUUCGGUUCCAACUUCACUCAUUGAAAGGUCAAAGCAGAAUUUGCUAGUGUUAAGUGUUGGUGGAAAUCCAAAUCUAUGUGCAUCAAUUUCAUGCAAAAGGGACAAGAAGAACAACUUGGUUGUUCCAGUAGUGGCAUCGGUUGCUGGAGUGGUCAUUGUCAUAAGUGCAUUAGCUAUUUUAUUCUGCGGUCUUAAAAGAAGAAAACAAAAAGUAUUACAAGCUAGAGAAGAGGCUGCCAAAACCAGCAACACAUACAAGUCACUGAAAUCAAAAGGACGACACUUCACAUACUCUGAGGUCCUGAAAGUUACCAACAACUUAGAAAGGGUUCUUGGUAAGGGAGGAUUUGGAACAGUUUACCAUGGCUACUUAAGCGAUGAUACCCAAGUUGCAGUCAAAAUGCUUUCUCCAACAUCAGGUCAUGGCUCAACUCAAUUUCGAACUGAGGCUCAUCUCUUGAUGAGAGUUCAUCACAGGAAUUUAGCUUCAUUUAUUGGUUAUUGCAAUGAAAGCGGAAACAUUGGGAUUGUCUAUGAAUACAUGGCCUGUGGAAAUUUAGAACACUAUUUAUCAGAUAAAACAGUAGAGGUUCUGAGUUGGAAAGAGAGACUGCAAAUUGCACUGGAUGCAGCACAAGGGCUAGAGUAUUUGCACCAUGGUUGCAAACCCCCUAUAAUUCACAGAGAUGUGAAAAGCGCCAACAUUUUGUUGAAUGACAAUUUGCAGGCCAAGAUAGCUGAUUUUGGGUGCUCAAAAAUUUUCCCAUCUGAAAGUAGGAGUCAUUUGUCAACCGGAGUUGUUGGCACCGUCGGUUACCUUGAUCCAGAGUAAGUCGCUGCAUAUGUCUAUAAGUUCGAUUUUUAGUGAUGGCACAGGACUUGAUUUCUAUCUUCUUUUUCUUGGUUUCUGUAGGUAUUAUUACUCAGCCAGCAGGCUAACUGAGAAAAGCGAUGUUUACAGCUUUGGAAUAGUUCUUCUAGAGCUAAUCACAGGCCAACCUGCAGUAAUAAAAAACCAUGAUCAGAACAUUCAUAUUGUUCAUUGGGUAAGUCCUUACAUCGAAAGAGGUGAUAUAAGAAAUGCUGUUGAUCGAAGACUACAAGGAAAUUUUGAUACCAAUUCUGUUUGGAAAUUCUUGGAAAUAGCAAUGUCAUGUGUACCAUCAAUUUCCAUUCAAAGGCCAACUAUGAACCACAUAGUUGCAGAAUUAAAGGAGUGUUUGGAAACAGAAAUUGCUCGAGAACAGAAUUGCAGAAUGGGGGGACAAACAACGAGAUUAAGCAAUUCGUUUGAAAUCAUUACUGUGGAUCCUGAAACUCAAGUGGGUCCAGAAGCAAGGUAGAACUGAACGAGGGUUUCACAAGUGUGCAGUAUAAUGUACUCAUGUCUCUAGUUUUACAUAUAUAAUUUUUUUUUUUUAAUUGAGUGGGUCUAUUGACCCCACUCAUUCAAGCAUGACUCCGCCCUUGCCCUGCUCGAGUGUAAUUGGAAAAAAAAAACCAUUUCGCGAAAAUCAAAUAGAGAAAAGCAUUUACCAACAAAUCAUUUCCUAAUUAAAACCAAUGCAUUAUGGUUCACAAAGAACUUCCUAGAUGCAUAGAUCCUAGCAAUCAGAAUCUCCCAAUUUUUGCAUCUUGAACUCUUUCUGGUGGCCAGUUUAUUAGAUACUGAAAAAGAUAUGAAAUUCCUAACCUUUCUUUCUCCAGAAAAUUAACUUUAUUGAAAAAGCAUUGAGUUUAUAUCUUCGAAAAAAAACAAAAGAAAGUCCAUAUGCAAUUUCAUCAAGAAAUAUCAAGAUAGCUAUAGGUACCUUUAAUCCUUGAGUGAGGGUUCGGUCUCCAGGGCCAUGAGUCUUAAGCCAUUGAUCUGCGAAAAUAUCAUUUCCAAUGGCAUCCUUGGCAAUGGUACCACCUCCAGUACCUCCCGCCCCAGGUGGGACAAAGAAGGAGGCAUAAGGAACCACCAUGAAACCAGUAGGGAGAGAAAUAGCACCCAGAAGAAGCAGAUUCAUGAGCUGCCUCUUACCCAUAUCAGGAACUCUAUCAUCAGCAGGAAUACUUGUGGCCUGGCAAGUGAUUCUCAUUGAUCUGUCCUUGGUCACCAUGUGAGUUCUCAUUGGCUUUGCAAACAAAGCAUGCGUUGGAGAGAACAUUCUACUCUUGCCAGAGCAUAGCUGUGAAGGAGCUACGGGAGAGAGAGUAGAGGAAGCCAUGGAUAAGAGAAAUUUUUGAUUUUUAGUAGAUUAUAUUAUUGCAGAGAAGGAAUAGGGUCAAAAUAACAACGGCCACUAACUGUAAUAGAUAAGCCAUGCUAGACACCAU
rnacentral:misc_RNA from 1 species